rnacentral:rRNA from 1 species
AUUCCAGCUCCAAUAGCGUAUAUUAAAGUUGUUGCAGUUAAAAAGCUCGUAGUUGGAUUUCUGGUGGGGCUGUCGGCCUGGCUCCGAAAGGGGUCGUGGUUAGUACACGCCUGGCCAUCCUCGGGGGAAGCUUUGCUGGCAUUAAGUUGUCGGCGGAGUGACGCUCGUCGUUUACUGUGAACAAAUUAGAGUGUUCAAAGCAGGCUUAGGCCGUUGAAUACAUUAGCAUGGAAUAAUGAGAUAGGACUUUGGUGGUCUAUUUUGUUGGUUUGCACGCCGAAGUAAUGAUUAAUAGGGGCGGUUGGGGGUAUUCGUAUUCAAUUGUCAGAGGUGAAAUUCUUGGAUUUAUGGAAGACGAACUACUGCGAAAGCAUUUACCAAGGAUGUUUUCAUUG